rnacentral:lncRNA from 1 species
AGCAAAGCUGUGUUUCCUGGGGAAAAGUGUGGCAUCUUCAGUUUACAUCAACUUGCUCUCAUCUGAGACAAAACUCUGUGUGUCCCUGCUGCGAUGGAUGCCAGAUAGAGCCUGCUUGCCUAGGAUGGGGACAGAUGCCAUUGGAAACAGAUGCUGGUGAGUCCUUCCUCAGAAAUCCGGUCCUUGCACUGCCUGGGAAUACAAACAGAUGCUCUGUGGCACUUCAUUAUUGGAUUGCGAGCACAUUGAUGUUUCAUAAAGGGCAUUGUAGAGUAAUGUUUGCCAUGCUCCAUGCCAAUUGCGGGCUGAGAUUGCUACAGCAUCAUGGAACAGAUGGAAGUUAAAGUCGUAGCUAAGCUCCAGUCUCCAUUUCUUUUGAUGAAGAGCUCCAAAGAUAGCUUUAAGUGAACUUUCAAAGGAACUGAGAUGGAAUGACCCCACCUGUCAGUUCACUGGAACUGCCAUGCCCUGAUAUUGACGUGAAAGGGGUAUGCUAAUGUCCCAAUGAGAAAUACUUCGACAUUCUGACUGAAGCUCCCCUGUGGCAGGACAGAUAGCCAAGACUAUGCUGAGAUUGCUUAGAAAUGUGCUUUUCUAGAACAUAGAUUUUGUCAUCAAGUUGCAUGAUUAUCCAGUAAUCAUAUGUAUUAUUUUAAUAACUAAAAUGGUUUCUCCCUGCUCCUGCCAAGUUUACUUCAUGAGUGUAAACAGCAUGAGCCGGAGGGUUAAACUGGGAUUUUCCGUCAACUAUGGUCUUUAGUAUUGUGCACUAAAUAUAGAAGUUCAAUGAAA